rnacentral:lncRNA from 1 species
CCCCCCCAUGAACUGGGAGCUCCCCCGCCUGGACUGGGAGCACUGGGAGCUCCCCCCCCAUGGACUGGGAGCUCCCCCACCUGGACUGGAAGCACUGGGAGCUCCCCCCCCAUGGACUGGGAGCUCCCCUGCCUGGACUGGGAGCACUGGGAGCCCCCCUUCAUGGACUGGGAGCGCCCCCCCCAUGGACUGGGAGCACUGGGAGCGCCCCCCGAUGGACUGGGAGCACUGGGAGCUCCCCUGCUUGGACUGGGAGCCCCCCCGGAACAUACUGGGAGCAAACUGGGAGCUCCCCCUGGAGCAAACUGGGAGCACUGGACACUAACGAAGGGCACUGGGACACGGCUGUCACCCCCCCAUUGCACCCCCCUCCCCAGUUUUGGGGCAAAUUGGGGCAAUUUUGGGGCAGAUUGGGACGGUUUGAGGCACAUCAGACCCCUUGGGGACUCAUUUUGGGGUUAAACAGAGGGUUUUUGGGGCUGAUUCAGGGUGGUUUGGAGCUGAUUUGGGGUGUUUUGGGCCGGGGGGGGGGGGGGGGGGGGGGGGGGGGGGGGGGGGGGGGGGGGGGGGGGGCUUUUUUUGGGGUGUUUUCCGGCCUUUUCACAGAUGCAGAGGUAGGAGGCAGUGGCAGCUUGGAAGAAAAGCAGCUUUUUAACCCCAAAAAUGGAGCUGGAAAAUCAGGAUUGUGGCUUGUCCCCGGAGCUUCGGUUAACCCCCGCUAGGAGCGAGCGUAAAAAAAGACCAAAACGGCCCCAAAAAUGCCGGCGGGGGAGGGGUUGGGGGGGGGGAGGGGGGGUGUAAUAUUCUGUAUUUCCAGGUUUUUCUCCGUAAAAGGCAGCAGGAUGCUUAAAUUUAGGCUUUUUCCCCCAAACCGUGAGUUGUAAAAGUAGGAGUGGGAAACGGGGUAAAAGGAGGCAAAAAAAAAACAAAAAAACGCCAAAAACGGCUGCGGCGGUGGCAAGUAACCCUGGGCGCGGGCCGGAAUCCCCAAAUUCACCGAAAUCCCCCCGUUUUGGGAGCGGGAACGGGGGCGGGGUGGCGGAGGAGGGAGGAGCAUGGAUUUUGGGGCGAAUUCCGGCCGUUUUGGAGGUGGCGGCGGUCGGGGCGCGGCGGGCGGCCGGGGGCGUGCCGGGACCCCGCUUCCAUCCGAAACCCCCCCAAAACCAACCCCCCCCCCCCCAAUCAGCGCGGAGGGAUGUUAAAAAAAGCCGGAUUCGGUCCAAAAUAACCCAAAAUCCCCAAACGCGGCGCUUUUACCCCAAACCGGGGCUGACGGGGGGGGCUCUGUCUCGCAGGUGCAGCCACGGCGCCCCAGCCGCAGUAAAGAGGAGCGGGCGCCCCGACCCCGCCGCCUUUUUGGGGGAAAAAAGGCCAAAAAUGGGUCUGCUGGGCGCUGGUUCCCGGCUUCUCCGCACAGCUCAGUGAAAACCGCAGGAAAAUGCCCCAAAAACGAGGACGCCCGACCCGAAAAAGGCAGAGCCCGGCAGCAAAACCUCCCAAAAACGUGUAGGAAAGGGAGAAAAAAAAAUAGGUAUUUCUGGUGG